UACGUAGGGGGCAAGCGUUAUCCGGAUUUACUGGGUGUAAAGGGAGUGUAGGUGGCAUAACAAGUCAGAAGUGAAAGCCCGGGGCUCAACCCCGGGACUGCUUUUGAAACUGUUAAGCUUGAGUGCAGGAGAGGUAAGCGGAAUUCCUAGUGUAGCGGUGAAAUGCGUAGAUAUUAGGAGGAACACCAGUGGCGAAGGCGGCUUACUGGACUGUAACUGACACUGAGGCUCGAAAGCGUGGGGAGCAA
rnacentral:rRNA from 1 species